UUUCGUAAAGUAUUUAUCGAACUUUGAAAWGAGGAAAUAAGGGAUUUCUUCCUUAAGAUGAUCGUUCUUUGAAGUAUAUCUGUUCAGGGAUUUAAGCCAGGAUAAUAGUUUCUGUAUCGUGUACUUGAAUUGGGUUUACAAUGGAUAGGUACGUUCGUGUAAGGAAAAUUGGCGAAGGCUCGUUCGGAAAAGCACUGCUUGUCAAGAAGAAGAAUGAUGGCAAGCACUACGUUAUCAAGGAAAUCAACAUUUCAAGGAUGAAGCCGAGAGAACGAGAAGAUUCUAAGAAGGAGGUAAAGGUGCUUUCACAGUUGAAACAUCCAAAUAUCGUGUCAUACAAGGAAUCAUUUGAAG